rnacentral:rRNA from 1 species
UACGAAGGGGGCUAGCGUUGCUCGGAAAUACUGGGCGUAAAGCGCACGUAGGCGGCGCAGCAAGUCAGGGGUGAAAUCCCGGGGCUCAACCCCCGGAACUGCCCUUGAAACUGCAGUGCUAGAAUUCUGGAGAGGCGAGUGGAAUUCCGAGUGUAGAGGUGAAAUUCGUAGAUAUUCGGAAGAACACCAGUGGCGAAGGCGACUCGCUGGACAGACAUUGACGCUGAGGUGCGAAAGCGUGGGGAGCAAACAGG